UUAAGUUAGAAAGGGCGCACGGUGGAUGCCUUGGCACUAGGAGCCGAAGAAGGACGGGACUAACACCGAUAUGCUUUGGGGAGCUGUACGUAAGCGUUGAUCCAGAGAUUUCCGAAUGGGGGAACCCACUAUCUUUAGUCGGAUAGUAUCCUUACGUGAAUACAUAGCGUGAGGAAGGCAGACCCAGGGAACUGAAACAUCUAAGUACCUGGAGGAAGAGAAAGAAAAAUCGAUUUCCUGAGUAGCGGCGAGCGAAACGGAAAGAGCCCAAACCAAGAAGCUUGCUUCUUGGGGUUGUAGGACACUCUAUACGGAGUUACAAAAGAAAGUUAUAAAUGAAGCGGUCUGGAAAGGCCCGCCAAAGACGGUAACAGCCCGGUAGUUGAAAUGGCUUUCCCUCCAGAGUGGAUCCUGAGUACGGCGGAACACGUGAAAUUCCGUCGGAAUCCGGGAGGACCAUCUCCCAAGGCUAAAUACUCCCUAGUGACCGAUAGUGAACCAGUACCGUGAGGGAAAGGUGAAAAGCACCCCGGAAGGGGAGUGAAACAGUUCCUGAAACCGUGUGCCUACAAGUAGUUAGAGCCCGUUAAUGGGUGAUAGCGUGCCUUUUGUAGAAUGAACCGGCGAGUUACGAUUUGUUGCAAGGUUAAGCGGAAAAAGCGGAGCCGUAGCGAAAGCGAGUCUGAAUAGGGCGCAUAAGUAACAGGUCGUAGACCCGAAACCAGGUGAUCUACCCAUGUCCAGGAUGAAGGUAAGGUAAUACUUACUGGAGGUCCGAACCCACGCACGUUGAAAAGUGCGGGGAUGAGGUGUGGGUAGCGGAGAAAUUCCAAUCGAACUUGGAGAUAGCUGGUUCUCUCCGAAAUAGCUUUAGGGCUAGCCUCGAGGUAAAGAGUCAUGGAGGUAGAGCACUGUUUGGACUAGGGGCCCUUCUCGGGUUACCGAAUUCAGAUAAACUCCGAAUGCCAUGUACUUAUACUCGGGAGUCAGACUGCGAGUGAUAAGAUCCGUAGUCGAAAGGGAAACAGCCCAGACCACCAGUUAAGGUCCCCAAAUAUAUGUUAAGUGGAAAAGGAUGUGGGGUUGCUUAGACAACCAGGAUGUUGGCUUAGAAGCAGCCACCAUUGAAAGAGUGCGUAAUAGCUCACUGGUCGAGUGACCCCGCGCCGAAAAUGUACCGGGGCUAAACAUAUUACCGAAACUGUGGAUGAACCUCUUUAGAGGUUCGUGGUAGGAGAGCGUUCUAAGGGCGGUGAAGUCAGACCGGAAGGACUGGUGGAGCGCUUAGAAGUGAGAAUGCCGGUAUGAGUAGCGAAAGAAGGGUGAGAAUCCCUUCCACCGAAUAUCUAAGGUUUCCUGAGGAAGGCUCGUCCGCUCAGGGUUAGUCGGGACCUAAGCCGAGGCCGAUAGGCGUAGGCGAUGGACAACAGGUAGAGAUUCCUGUACCAGUGCUAAUUGUUUAACCGAUGGGGUGACACAGAAGGAUAGGGAAUCGCACGAAUGGAAAUGUGCGUCCAAGCAGUGAGUGUGAGAAGUAGGCAAAUCCGCUUCUCGCGAAGCAUGAGCUGUGAUGGGGAAGGAAAUUAAGUACGGAAGUUCCUGAUUUCACGCUGUCAAGAAAAGCCUCUAGGAAGAGUAGUACUGCCCGUACCGCAAACCGACACAGGUAGAUGAGGAGAGAAUCCUAAGGUGAGCGAGAGAACUCUCGUUAAGGAACUCGGCAAAAUGACCCCGUAACUUCGGGAGAAGGGGUGCUCUAUUAGGGUGCAAGCCCGAGAGAGCCGCAGUGAAUAGGCCCAGGCGACUGUUUAGCAAAAACACAGGUCUCUGCAAAACCGUAAGGUGACGUAUAGGGGCUGACGCCUGCCCGGUGCUGGAAGGUUAAGAGGAGUGCUUAGCUUCGGCGAAGGUACGAAUUGAAGCCCCAGUAAACGGCGGCCGUAACUAUAACGGUCCUAAGGUAGCGAAAUUCCUUGUCGGGUAAGUUCCGACCCGCACGAAAGGCGCAACGAUCUGGGCACUGUCUCAACGAGAGACUCGGUGAAAUUAUAGUACCUGUGAAGAUGCAGGUUACCCGCGACAGGACGGAAAGACCCCGUGGAGCUUUACUGCAACCUGAUAUGGAAUGUUUGU
rnacentral:rRNA from 1 species